UGAAGAAAUUAAAAGAAAUCUUCAGCUCAUAAAUGUUGAAGAGGAAAACAAUGCUUGUUAUGCCAACCCUCGAUUCAAGGAAAUUCAUAUAUUGGGUCAGAGAUAUUCUAAUAACAUCUAUGGAACAAAGCAGCUUUUGGUAGCAAGAACAGUACA